rnacentral:lncRNA from 1 species
AGGGUCAAAUAUCUAUGGCAAUAAGGAUUCCUAAUGCAAAUAGGACUUGUAUUAAGAGGAUAUUUGAUUUUGAAUAGGAUUCAAACCAUUUACCUAUUUAAAGGAGUCUUCUCUAAGGCUGUUGAUAUGAGAUUUCUAGCAGCCCACACCCCCUAUAAAAUCUCCCCAUGCCUCCCUCUCUUUUGCCCUUUGGAUCCAAUGCCCAAAGGAGUUGGGCGUCCUCCAUCUCCAUGCCCAAGAGGAGCUUGGGCAUCUCCUCUUCCUUACUGGUUUUUAGAUCUUGGUUGCUUCAUAAUCAAGAGAAGAAAAGAAAGAGAAGAAGAG